rnacentral:lncRNA from 1 species
AUCCACUUUCUCAGGCAGGGACUACAGGAAAUGAAGGUGAACUUGUGGAGAUUUUGGAGAGAAUUUAAUGAAGAGGCUGUUUACCAAGGAUCUCUGUCUGUCUCCGAGGCUGGAGUGCAAUGUUGCAAUCAGGACUCACUGCAGCCUCGACCUCCUGGGCUCAACUGAUCUUCCUACUACAGCCUCAUGAGUAACUGGGACUACAGAAGACCAUGGGCAUUUUUUCUAUGCAACUACAGAUAGUAUCCCAUGAUAUGAAUGGUCCUGGAUUUACUUACACAUCCUCCUUUUGAUGAGCAAAAAGUAAAUUUUUCACAGUGAUAGACAUUUGUAGUGCUUUUUAAAGGCAGUGGUUCUGGUGGACAUUGAGAGGCAAUUUUUAUUUGCUGCACGUGGAAAGGACAACAACAUACCUGGACAGAAGUGCCUUGAGGAUGUACUGAAGGCCCCUCUCACAUUUCACAGCCAUAACUGUAAGUUUCCUGGGGCCUCUCUAGAAGACAAGCAGAUGCCGCUGUGCUUCCUGAACAGCCCACAGAACUCUCCCAGUUGUGGGCAGAGUCUGGUUAAGGUACAGCCUUGGAAUUAU